rnacentral:misc_RNA from 1 species
GCACAAUCUUCUUCCUCGAUCUUCUUCAUUCUCUUGCUCUCAGGAAUGGAAUCACAGAUCAAACAUGCUGUGGUGGUGAAAGUAAUGGGUAGAACUGGAUCAAGAGGGCAGGUGACUCAAGUGAGAGUCAAGUUUCUUGAUGAUCAGAAUCGUUACAUUAUGAGGAAUGUCAAGGGACCAGUCAGGGAAGGCGAUAUUCUUACACUACUCGAGUCCGAGAGGGAGGCUAGAAGGUUGCGUUGAUGCAAAAUUUUCUGUUGGUGCCAUCAUAUUUUUCCUUCUUUAAGUGUGGAUUUUAGUGACUAGUUUGUUUCAAGACAUUUGAUUCUGUGGCUGAAUUUAGAACAAGAUGAGGUAAUUUAACUGAGUUUUGAAAAAUUGUGGAUUUU